rnacentral:rRNA from 1 species
GACGAACGCUGGCGGCGUGCUUAACACAUGCAAGUCGAACGGAGUGGCGAACGGGUGAGUAACACGUGGGUGACCUUCCCUGCACUCGGGAUAAGCCUGGGACAAUGGGUAUUAUAACGGAUAGUGUGGGAUGGGCCCGGGGCCUAUCAGGUUGUUGGUGGGGUCAUGGCCUACCCAGGCGGCGACGGGUAGCCGGCCUGAGAGGGUGGACGGCCACAUUGGGACUGAGGCACGGCCCAGACUCCUACGGGAGGCAGCAGUGGGGAAUAUUGCACAAUGGGCGGAAGCCUGAUGCAGCGACGCCGCGUGGGGGAUGACGGCGUUCGGGUUGUAAACUCCUUUCACCAUAGACGCGGUAGAUGGAGAAGAAGCACCGGCUAACUACGUGCCAGCAGCCGCGGUAAUUC